GUGUAAUUAUGAGCAUCAAUCGAGCCAGAAGAACGAAGGAACCGGCGGCAGUGAGGAGGAGCGAGCAGUGCCAGCAUCCCGGAGCGGGCGUGUUUUCCUCCCAGUCCUCCGCCUCUUCUCACCCCAGCGUGAACCACAGGUCAGAGCGGUGCUGGAGAUGCAGAUGGCUACAAGCUCACACGCAGCAAGGUGUUUCGGCAGCUCAGCCUAGCAGCCUCUGUCAUUUGGAAGUAUCAGAGCAGCUGGGACAGCUCUGUAACCAACUCUGGAAGGAAAAAUGGAAUUCUGAGCAAAUGCCAGCUCUCCCUGCAGAGAACAGAGCUGUGUGCUCACCCCCUUCAGCUCCAGCAGGAAAUGCUCCAGGACAGACCACCCUGUGCUUAUUUCCCUCCAGGUUUGAACAGUUAGAGAUAACCAGGAUGUAUGCAGUGGCCCUUAAUUCCACAUACACGUUGGGGAUUUAACUGCGAGAAACCCUCUCUGUGUUGCUGAUAAAAAAACGUUCCAGAUGAGAUGUGCAAGUCGGAGAGCUCAGAGGAACCUGCCUGGAAUUGCUGCAGGUUGACUUAGCAAACAUCAGCGUCCCUCAAUUCUGCAUAGAGAUCUGCUGUAUUUCAUGGGGUUUAGCACCACUUCAGGAAGAAAGCCAUCCACCAGGAAAACUGCAAGCGAAGCUGCUUAGAAUAAAUCAUGUUAAGUCGUAUUAUCACCGCCAUGGCUUGGUCUGGUCAAUCAGGCUGAACUAUUUCAACUAUUUAAGGAAAACAAAACAGUACAAAACAAAACCAUCAGUUAUGAAUAUAUGGGUGUUCUGAAUUUUAUUUUUAUUUUCAUUUUAGUGCCAAGAACACAAAGCAAUCAUAUAGCAGUCUGUAACCUUAAGAACAACAAUACGAACAAUUCAGGCAUCCAAAGACGCCAAAUCCUUUUUUGACCACAUGAAGUAUGCAGAAAAAGAUUCAUCAUCAUCUGUUGUCUAUGACUGUCAAAUAAAUAUGUAAAGGAUAAUAAUAAAAAGACCCUUCCUCAGUCAAGGAGCUUCACAGCUAUUUUCUUAAUCAGGAUUUUGUCCCACUCUGUAGUUGAACACGUCCCACAAAAGCCUGAAGGCCACCAACUCCAUUAAAGCAAACCAAAUGAAACAAACCAGCCAACCAAACAGCCAACUAACCAAUGAUGCAAUCAAACCAGCCAACUCACCAACCGACCAAACCAGCCUACCAGUGAACCAAACAACCAACCAGACAAACCUGCCAACUAACCAACCAAACCUGCCAACUAACCAAUCAAACCAGUCAACCAAACCAGCCAACUCAUUAACUGAUCAAACCAGCCAACCAAUGAGCCAACCAACCAAACCAGCCAACCAAAACCAGCCAACCAAUCAGCCAACUAAUCAGUCAUGCAAAUGAACCACCCCAACCCACCAACCAACAAACCAGCCAACCAGCCAACAAAUCAACUAACCAGCCAACUAGCCAACCAACCAAUCAAUCAGUCAACCAACCAACCAACCAGCCAGAUCAAUCAACCAACCAACCAACCAAACCAGGCAACCAACAACCAGCAGGACAAACUACCACCCAACCAGCCAUCCAACCAACCAAUCAGCCAAAGAGUAUGCUUUGUUGCCCAAGAUCAGCUCAAAUAAUGGAAUCUUAGUGUACUUCUGAUAAAAAUGGCCUCAGCUCUCCCAUGCUUUAUCUAAGGCUCAGCACAGCACAGUCCUGAUGCUCUGCUACACCAUAAAGGAUUUGCUUUUCUCCUCUUCAUCCCCUUUGAUUUCUGCAUCUAUAAUCACUCCAGCAGUCCAUGAAGUGCGAUCCAUGAUGCAGUCUUCCCUCCACAACCUUGAUGCAACCUAAACACAAGCUGAAAUAUGCUCACUUGAGGAAAUAUGGCAUGAAUCAGCCUGAAAUAUGAACUUUCAAAUAAAAAUGCAGUAAAGCAUCUUGUGUUCUUUCUCAAGGUACGUUCACAUAAGUCAGUGACAGUGGUGAGAACCUAGGUCAUAAGGAUUCUAAUGGUCUCCCUGGCAGGAUUGGGUAUGGAACAGCCCACAGGUUACCCCAGAAGAUCCAUUUAUUUGAUAUAAAGGACCAAGGUUUGGGGACGUGGCUGCUACUGUCACCUUGCCCUGCAAUGCCAAGAGCGUGCUCCCAGGUGGGAGGUGAGAAGGGCAUCCUCAGGCUUCAAUGGACUGAGGAAAUAGAGGACAGAAUGAUGUGUUUGUGUCCACUGCCAUCCAUCCCACCUUCCCUCACAGAUCCUUUGCCCUGCAGAUGCCAGAUGGAGCUGGAACAUUGAAAGCAAUUUUGCCUUUUGGCAGCCCAGGACACUUAGGAUUUCCCUUUCCCCCUUUUCACUUCUUGAGCCAAGCAUUUCUGUGUUUGCAGCCUGCAUCAUGGUAUAACCUGAUUCAGCCUAAGUUGGUCUAAUUUGGCAGGAGCCCAGUCAAAAUCUGGUCUGUCCAAACAAAUUAGUGGAACAAAUUAGUAGCAAGUCAGCAAUUGCCAGCUUGUACACGUCCACAAAAUCAUGACCUUAUUGCCUUCACUGUCAUCAAAAAUUUUCAGGUGGGGCUUAGAGAAGGAAAUUAAUAUGGCAGUGCCAUAUCACCUCUUUGAUGAAAAGCACACCAACAUCAAGCUCCAUCCACACUGACACGAUCCAUCUCCUACUGGUCCCAGGCCCAACAAAAUCUGAAGACACUGAUAAAGUACAUUAAAGAAUGUUUCUGUUUUGAAUGACCUAGAAAUUAAAUCCAAAAUAUGUGGUGCAUAUAGGAGGAGCUAAGAUUUUUCUAGGCACCCCAGCAUCUAUGGAGGAAUAAAUCAAAUCACACGUUCAAAGCCAUCUGACUUAAUUUGUCAUCAGCUGUUUUAAUACUGACAUUAAAACAACGACGACAACAAAACAAAACCCUGAAUUGGUCCAGGAUUUCCAUUUGGCUAAAACCAUAAUGCAAGGGCAACGGGAAGCUCGGAGUAACCGCUGUUAAACUCUAUCCGCCCUUCAUCUCCAAUGUAAAACUGAUGCUCGGUAGUCAACAAGAGAAAACUAUUUUUCCAUAACCAGUUCAUUUUGUUUGGCUUAAGCUAAAAUCCGAGGGCUGCCUUUUCAUUUACAGGCACGCUUUGUAUCUAGGUUAAGGACUUUAAAGUAUGCUAAGGAUAGGCUUUUGUUCUCCACCUCCUUGCUGUUCCCUCCUGGUUACCGUGGAGGUCAGCUCCCCCAUUAGAGCCCGUGGGGUGUGACACAUGCUGCAGCGCAGAGCAAGCUGCCACCGAUGCACUCCCUCCUUCACAAAUCCCCACAGGUCACAGCUCCCAGGGGCUCUCAGACAACUUUCUGUAUAAUUCAUGAUCGCUUCCUGAGGUAAAUAAUGCAUUCUGCGCCUCUGGUUAUUGUGCUCCUUCAAAGGCCCAGUCAAAUAAAAGUUUGUUGUUUAUCUUACUUUAAGAAUGACUGUUUGCCCAUCUCCCCUGACGUACCUUUAUCUUGUUUCUGCCUCCCACAAUAGCGAGAAGUCACUGCCAGGUAACCCCUUCCAUUUCAGCCCUCUGAAAAAAAAAAUCAUGGCGUGCUGCGUUCAAUUCCAUGGGUAAAGUGCCCUGACCCCCGCUGUAUCUCUGAGAUUUACGCUGGGCUGUAUCCACUUUUUCCCCUUCAGUCACCACACACAGCAGCCAGGACUCAUUAUCUGCCAAGCAGCCUCCAUCAGAUGGAGCCCAUAGGGUUUGGGAUGGAUGCCACUGUCACUGGGUCCCCAUUUAGCUAUGUU
ensembl:lncRNA